rnacentral:lncRNA from 1 species
AGCCACUGGUCAAAUGGAUCUGGAGUCAUAUUCUUGAUAUAAAACUUUUUUUAUAUGAUUAAUUUUGAAUGGGCCCCAUAAUUCUGAGGAUCCUUCAAAUGCUCGAGCUUUAAAUAAUAAUUGAUAUACCUUAGAUGUAAACCUAAUCUUGAUUGCAAUUAUCUAGGUUGUGCAUAAGAUAUUUUGAUGAUAAUUCUAUCUUGCAAACUAAAAUAAGUUCC